ensembl:snoRNA
UGAUGGCUAUUCCUCUCACUGCUUUAUACCUUGGGUAGUGGGAUUUUAGUCCAUCAUAGAGCAAGCAGAUUUGUUUUCACCCAGAGCACCAUGCGGAUGGCUUGCCUAUCUGAUAGUGACUCCUGGUUUUUGCAAGUCGAACAGUU